rnacentral:rRNA from 1 species
UACAGAGGUCUCAAGCGUUGUUCGGAUUCAUUGGGCGUAAAGGGUGCGUAGGCGGCGCGGUAAGUCGGGUGUGAAAUCUCGGAGCUUAACUCCGAAACUGCAUUCGAUACUGCCGUGCUUGAGGACUGGAGAGGAGACUGGAAUUUACGGUGUAGCGGUGAAAUGCGUAGAUAUCGUAAGGAACACCAAUAGCGAAGGCAGCUCGCUGGGACGUUACUGACACUAAGGCGCGAAAGCGUGGGGAGCGAACAGG